GUGUCUGCAUGAGAAAGACAGAAAAAGAAACAUUAAAUGUGUUUUUUAUGUUCAGAGUUCAAACUAUUACUACUACACUAGAUUUUUACAUUGUCUGUCUGAAGAAAAAGAGAGUGGUGCUUACAUGUACAAAAAAAAAAAACACAUAAUGCUGUGGUGUUGCUAUGCAGUUGCUGAGGUUUUCUGAGUUGUUAGAGUGUUGCUAUACGGUUGCUAGGGUGUUAAUGCAAUGUUGCUGAGGUGUUGAGAAUUUGUCUGUUGCUAUGCAGUUGCUGAGGGUUUCUGAGUUGUUAGUGUGUUGCUGUGCAGUUGCUAGGCAGUAGUUGAAGUGUUCUCAGUUGGUAAUGCGCUGCUAUGCAAUUACUAGGUUGUUGCUAGGCAGUUCUGAGGUGUUCUGAGUUGUUACCGUGUCACUUUGCAGUUGCUAUUGUGUGAUUGUGCCGUUUCUGAGGUGUUCUUAAUUGAUAGUGUGCUGCAGUGCAGUUUCUAGGGUGUUGCUAUGCAGUUUUUGAGGUGUUCGGAGUUGUAAAUGUGUCGCUAUGGCGUUGCUAGGGUGUCUGACUUGUUCCUGUGUCACUUUGCAGUUGCUAGAAUGUUAUUGUUCAAUUUCUUUCUUUUCAGGUCUUUUAAAUAGAUAGUGUGCUGCUUUCCAGUUGCUAGGUUGUUGCUGUGCAGUUUUUGAGGGGUUCUGAUUUGUAAGUGUGUAAUUCUGCAGUUGCUAUGGUGUUGCUAUGCAGUUGCUUGAAGUAUUUUGGGCUGUUUGUGUGUCGCUACACUGUUGCUACGCAGUUGAGUUGUAAGUGUGUUGAUUUGCAGUUUACACUGUGUUGCUAUGCAAUUUCUGAGGUGUACUAAGUUGUUGUGUGUUGCUAUGCAGUUGCUAGGGUGUUGCUAUGCGGUUUCUGAAUGUGUUCUAAAUUGAAAAAAGUGUGUUGUUAAGCAGUCACUGAGAUGUUUACUGUGUACGUUUUUUGAUUGGUUGCUAGUCAUUGCUGUUGUGGCUGCGGAGGUGUUAAUGCAGUGCUAUGCAGUUGCUAUGGUGUUUUGCGUGGUUGCUGAGGUUUUUGAGUAGUUGCGCAGCUGAUAGGCUGUUCCGGGUGUUCACUGUAUGUCUGAGUAUGAGUAAGUCUGAAGAAGUUUUAUUUUUAAGAGUGACUAACUGGAAGGUCAGUAAAGGGCCAGUGGCAACAAACCCCCAAAAUCUACAAGAGCUCUUCACUUUAUUUAUAGUCUGUUUGAGGUGCUGUUAUAGCCGUAGUAGUAUUUGCAGAUGUAGUGUGGGAGAGAACGUGUCUUCACACCCUUAAACUGCUUUUCAAAACCAUCUAUUAGUCUUUCUCUUUUUGUUUCCUCCCCUUCUCUACAUCCAAGGCAAAUGUUCCCCCCUUUAUAUCUUCCUCUUUGGCUUUUGUGUGUGUGUGUGUGUGUGUGUGUGUGUGUUUGUCUGAUUUUUGGAUGCAGAGACAGUGCAGGAAGCAGAGCCCAUGAUGACAUCACCACCCCUCUGUUCCAGUGCACAUCUGGAAAUGCUCAAGUUUCAGAACGAAAAAGUGAGAACGGCAAGAACGUGAGGGAAGAGUACAAACGCGCUUGGCAUAUCUGCACCACCAGCACUGACAGUGAAAGAAGGAGGAGAUAAUAGGAAAAGAGAAAGAAAUGGAGGUGGACCGAUUCCAGGACUAAAACCAGGUCCUGGAGUGUCUCGGACUUGGUGGGUGGGAAUUUUGACAGCUGGCUGGAGGAAAUCCUGUUUCCAGUUGACAAUUUUAUUCAUUUAUUUAUUUUUUACCGCCACAGGCAUGGACAAAGACCUCCUGCACCCAUUUGGAAACCAUUAACUCAUAAGGACAUCCAGUUUAGGAAACCAGUUGUAUUUCCCCUGGUUUCAUAAACAAGUUCUUUUCAAAUUAAACUGUGAUUGAUUUUUGUCAUUUGGUACUGGUCUGUGUUUGCCUUAUUGGCGUUUUCUUCUGAAAAAAUUGUUAUCAUUAACAAAGUAUGGCAAAUUCACAUUCAGCCAAAAGUACUGCAGUACUGUUGUGACUUUGUCAUUAAACUUGUAUUAUUUUCAGUAUGGUGCAGUUAUGUGUUGUCAUGCAGAUCGAGCAACUUGUGAUGUUAAGUAUUCUAAAACUCAAGAAAAGCUAAAAGUAGG
ensembl:lncRNA